rnacentral:rRNA from 1 species
UACGGAGGGAGCUAGCGUUGUUCGGAAUUACUGGGCGUAAAGGGCGCGUAGGCGGGUGUUUAAGUCAGAGGUCAAAUCCCAGGGCUCAACCCUGGAACUGCCUUUGAUACUGGACACCUAGAGUUUGGGAGUGGUGAGUGGAACUCCGAGUGUAGAGGUGAAAUUCGUAGAUAUUCGGAAGAACACCAGUGGCGAAGGCGACUCACUGGCCCAAUACUGACGCUGAGGCGCGAAAGCGUGGGGAGCAAACAGG